GGCGGUGGCUCCCUCUGGCGGCUCCCUCCAUGGCAUGACGGCGGUGCACUGCAUCGGCUAAAGCACCACCAUGGUUGACAAAAAUGCUCUGCAUCUUGAGAAGCAAAUAUCUUAAAACUUUGACUUGGAUCUCGACGGCGACGGCAUCCAACGAACACAAGGUCGCUCCCAACCAACAAGUUUUUUUCUUCCAAGUUAAUAAUGUGGAUUGUGAUGUUUAUCUGUGCACUGAUUUUCAGAGUGGAUGGCCGUACCAUUUAAUUUUGAUUACUAGCACUAGUAGUUGUAUUCAGUGUGAGCUGGAAGACUAACUGAUUCAGUUUUCGAAGCCAUCUUUGCUGUUC